rnacentral:rRNA from 1 species
UACGUAGGGACCAAGCGUUGUUCGGAUUUACUGGGCGUAAAGGGCGCGUAGGCGGCGCGGUAAGUCACUUGUGAAAUCUCUGAGCUUAACUCAGAACGGCCAAGUGAUACUGCAGUGCUAGAGUGUGGAAGGGGCAAUCGGAAUUCUUGGUGUAGCGGUGAAAUGCGUAGAUAUCAAGAGGAACACCUGAGGUGAAGACGGGUUGCUGGGC